CUGUCCUGGUUUCAUAAAUGAGGAAACUCGGGCUCCAAAGAAUCAAGUGAUUUCCCUGGAGCAGAAGCUGGUCAAAAAGACAGAACUGCAAAUCUGUUUGGUUCUAGGAGCAGGGAAGACAGGACUUUCCCCUGAAGCUCUUAUCUCCCUCCCUGAGGUUGCUGUGAGUGGAAAACAGGAGGGUUGGGGGUAGGGUAGGAGCAACUGAUAAUGGACGUUUUUUUCCUCUCCAAGGAGGCAUUUUCUCCCCACUCCAUUCCUUCCCCCCACAAAGCUUCAUCCACCCUCCCUCAGAGCUGCAUCAGGAGUACCAAGUGACAGAGCUCCUGCACCGAAGUGCCUGGCCUAGAAUCCUGCCUUCAGGAACUCCAAGAAAAAGCAGCCAGAGAAAGAAAGGGUGCUUCCCCUUCCAGAACUCCCUUUAUUAUUGCACCCCACUUCAAUCACUCUCCUGGCUUUCAAACUUACAUGAUAUAAGAGGGAAGCCUGAUUUCACCCUCUCAGCUGGUCAUCUGUAAGAUGGGAACGACGCAUCUUGGGAGAACAACCCAGAAGAGAGUAUCAGAAAGUGCUUUCCAAAUUUUCAAGUGCUAACAAAGAAGUACCACCCUAAAGGCUGAGGUUCUCGCCUACCAGAUGAAGACACUGAGGCUGGAGGGGGUCACACAGCUGGAAAAUGGAAUCUGAACCUGCACCUGUUCUCUUUCCCGAGCCCGACCUCGCCCGACCUCACCCACCGUAACAAAGUCACAAGGCCCAAAUGGGCCUUUCGCAUCAGCUCCCCACUACUUCUGGGUUCC
rnacentral:lncRNA from 1 species